CGUGGUUUAAAUCUCUCUCGCGCUCGCUUCACCCCUUCUCUCCAAGAGGCCAUCUCUCUAGGGUUUUUGCCGGAGUCGGUGAUCGGAAAGCUUCUGGGGGACCUGCUCGAAUUGUGGAGUUAAAAGUUUGGUUGCAUUCCUUGAGAAAUCCUUGAUCCGUCUCUCUUUAUUUGGUUGAGAAAUUUUCUCUACACAUCGUGUGAAGAAUUCAUUCGAGGAUUUGCAUCUCUGUGUCUUCUCGCAAGUGAAUGGAAAUAGAUCGAGUAGAGAGAGGUUCCUGCCUGCGAUCUUUGACCCAUCAGGCUCUGGAAAAGGCUUGAACUGAUUAUUUCAUAGGUUACAUUUUGAUGUCCACAACUGUUCAUUCAUAACCUUCAAGUACUCAAAUGCAUUGUGUGCCCGCCUUUGUCACCAUCUUCCUUUUGCAUUUGUCAAGAAAGGCUUGGUUGAAGGACCAUGAUGUGAGAUACAGGACCAUUAUUUUAUUUAGUCUGUAUGAAAGGCCUGAUUUUUGUGGACAGCUACUCUCAACUGGCAUACAACUCAUCUGGUUGGAAGGUGAUGAAAAGUUUAAGGACAAUGACAAGAAGAGGAAUUCAUCGAGUUUCUACAUGUGGAGGAUCUAGUAGAGAAAGGUGGAACACAAUUUACAAAUGCUCCAUGUCUUUGAAUUAAUUAUUAUACUUUAUCAUUUCAUUAUUCUUCAUCUUUUUUUUUAAGCUGAUUUGUUACUAAUAAUUUGAAUACGAUCGGGAAGGGGGAAUUUUAUGCAUAGGGACAAAUGCUGAUUUGUUACUAAUCAUAUAUUUUAAUCUUUAUAUGCUUGAAUCAGUCACAUGUUUUGAGUGUAGCUGUAUAAGAAACUAAACUAAAGUCUGGGGUUCAUAUAUAUAAACCCAGCAUCUCAUACUACUAUUUGCAUCUUUAUAUUGAUCAUACAUUGCUCAUCUUUAUUUUUGUGAUUACCAUCUGAAGUUCUCAAUACGCUUCCCUAACUUUUUGGAUUGGCUUGUAUCUUAGAUCAACACAAAGCAAUCACAUUUAUAGUAUCUAUUGUAUUUAUUUGUGUGGACACUUAUUAAAGGUACCUCCUCACACUUUCAUUCAUAUUGCAAAAUUUUGAAAAUCCUUGCGUGAAAUGGGUACUUGUCUGCUUUAAGAAACUGCUUUGAAUGAUGAUGAAGAAAUAGGUGAGGAGAAUAUAAUUUCUUGUUACAUAUGCAAUUCAAUGAGUAAAAUUUCACACCUUUUAUUUGUGAUCAAUAUGGAUCAUUGUAUUGAAUAAUCAUACAAAUAAGUUGAUAUAUGCAUAUGACAGUAUGUUUUGGAGGUUGAAUCAUAAUCUAAUCUUGAUAAUUAGACAAUAACGAAGUUUUUGUCACUAUAUGCAUAUGAAGGUACAUGGUUUGAACCAUUAUCUAUUUGUAUGCCAAACCUUUUGCUUGUAAUGCUGUCCAGGAGACGAAACGCCCGUGCAACUCUCAAAGCAUUAUCUAUUUGGAUUCUUGACCUUUGCAGCAAGUAGUUGAUUCUUGCAAUGUGUUAUAUGUGGUGUAACUCUCAAAGCAUUCCACAUUCGUGCUGCCACAAAAAAUCUUGAUGAUGCUAUGAUUAGUGCACUAGGUUCAAGCCUUAGCAUUAUCAUCAUGGUUCUCUUCUUGAACUACAGAUUCUCGGACUAGAUAGAUGCGUUGACACAAAGGUGGGAGAUGAAAUGUUAAGGGGGAGUCUUCGGAGGACAAAAGACGAGUCUCACAAUAGGUGAGAUAUCAACUGAUCUGGACAGCUCCACAACUUUCCAGAUUAUCAAUUAACUAAAGUAGGUGAUUUACAUCCUUGGUGCGUAAGAGACUUGUUUUUCUUUUUUGGAUGACAUGCUAUACAUGACUAACGUUACUUUCUUAUAUCAGUACUUAAAAUAUAAGUUAUGAAUUUUUGUGUACAUUGUGUGUACAAAUGUUAUCAAUUUAAUAUUAAUUUUGGGUUUACAAGUUUUGGGUUGUGCUUAUAAACAUUAUGUGCAUCUGAAUAUUACAAUUGUGGAUGCUAAUUUUUAGUUGUAUUUGUAAAAAUCAUUAGUAAAAAUUGAAUAUUUAUUGUAUUUAAGGUUGCGUCAAUGACUUUAUAACAAUGGACUUGCUGUUGCUAUAGCUAAAGCUGUACAUAUACGCCACGGAUAUAAGCCCUAUAGUGGCAGAUGGGUGGACAAAUGACUUUAUAACAAUGGACUUGCUGUUGCUAUAGCUAAAGCUGUACAUAUACGCCACGGAUAUAAGCCCUAUAGUGGCAGAUGGGUGGACAAAUAUAUAUAUAUAUAUAUAUAUAUAUUAUUAUUAUUAUUAUUAUUAUUAUUAAUUUUUGAUAUUUGGUGAUAAACACUCCCAUUUAAAGUUAAUAGUCAAGGACGUGUACUGAUGUGGAGCGCAUCCUUAAGCUCAAUAACAUCAUACUCUUACCUUACAUAGGUUUCGAUUUUUUGUUUUUUCUGAAAUGAUCGAGUAUCUUAUACAAAAGACUCAGUACCAAUGAUUAAAAAAAAAACAUAGACAAACCUU